UACGUAGGGUGCAAGCGUUGUCCGGAAUUAUUGGGCGUAAAGAGCUCGUAGGCGGCUUGUCACGUCGGGUGUGAAAGCCCGGGGCUUAACCCCGGGUCUGCAUCCGAUACGGGCAGGCUAGAGUGUGGUAGGGGAGAUCGGAAUUCCUGGUGUAGCGGUGAAAUGCGCAGAUAUCAGGAGGAACACCGGUGGCGAAGGCGGCUCACUGGCCCGAUACUGACGCUGAGGUGCGAAAGCGUGGGGAGCAAACAGG
rnacentral:rRNA from 1 species